rnacentral:rRNA from 1 species
GCGAGUUGAUGGGAUACCUAAAUUUCCCAUGGCAAACUGCUCAGUAAUACAUGAUCAACUUACCCUAUAGAGAAAAAUAACCUCGGGAAACUGAGGAUAAUAUUUCAUAGUUGAAUAGGCUUGGAAAAGUUUUUCAAUAAAAGGGAUAAAAAAAAUGGUUUUUAUCUGCUAUAGGAUAGGAUCGUGGACGAUUAUGGUUGUUGGUGAGGUAACGGCUCACCAAGCCGAUAAUCGAUAGGGGCCGUGAGAGCGGGAGCCCCGAGAUGGGUACUGAGACAACGACCCAGGCCUUACGAGGCGCAGCAGGCGCGGAACCUCCGCAAUACACGAAAGUGUGACGGGGUUACCCAAAGUGUUCAAUUCUGAACUGUGGUAGGUGAGUAAUGUCCCCUACUAGAAAGGAGAGGGCAAGGCUGGUGCCAGCCGCCGCGAUAAAACCAGCUCUUCAAGUGGUCGGGAUAAUUAUUGGGCUUAAAGUGUCCGUAGCCGGUUUAGUAAGUUCCUGGUAAAAUCGGGUAGCUUAACUAUCUGUAUGCUAGGAAUACUGCUAUACUAGAGGGCGGGAGAGGUCUGAGGUACUACAGGGGUAGGGGUGAAAUCUUAUAAUCCUUGUAGGACCACCAGUGGCGAAGGCGUCAGACUGGAACGCGCCUGACGGUGAGGGGCGAAAGCCAGGGGAGCGAACCGGAUUAGAUACCCAGGUAGUCCUGGCCGUAAACGAUGC